GGCAGACGGGUGAGUAACAUGUAAGUAUCUGCCCUUUGGCCUGGAAUAACACGAGGAAACUUGUGCUAAUACCGGAUAAGUCUUUACGGAGAAAGCUUUAUGCACCAUUGGAUGAGCCUGCACUUGAUUAGUUUGUUGGUGGGGUAAUGGCCUACCAAGACUGUGAUCAAUAGCUGAUUUGAGAGGAUGAUCAGCCACAUUGGGACUGAGACACGGCCCAAACUCCUACGGGAGGCAGCAGUGGGGAAUCUUGCACAAUGGAGGAAACUCUGAUGCAGCGAUGCCGCGUGAGUGAAGAAGGCCCUUGGGUUGUAAAGCUCUUUCGUCGGGGGAGAAAAUGACUGUACCCGAAUAAGAAGGUCCGGCUAACUUCGUGCCAGCAGCCGCGGUAAUACGAAGGGACCUAGCGUAGUUCGGAAUUACUGGGCUUAAAGAGUUCGUAGGUGGUUGAAAAAGUUGGUGGUGAAAUCCCAGAGCUUAACUCUGGAACUGCCAUCAAAACUUUUCAGCUAGAGUAUGAUAGAGGAAAGCAGAAUUUCUAGUGUAGAGGUGAAAUUCGUAGAUAUUAGAAAGAAUACCAAUUGCGAAGGCAGCUUUCUGGAUCAUUACUGACACUGAGGAACGAAAGCAUGGGUAGCGAAGAGGAUUAGAUACCCUCGUAGUCCAUGCCGUAAACGAUGUGUGUUAGACGUUGGAAAUUUAUUUUCAGUGUCGCAGCGAAAGCGAUAAACACAC
rnacentral:rRNA from 1 species